rfam:Aedes albopictus isolate Foshan contig79837, whole genome shotgun sequence.
CAAACGGCCCUUUUCAGGGCCGCUGAAAAUUCCACUCAAGAGUUG